CAACAACAACGGAUGAUAAAUAAAAUACGGAAAUAUGAAGAGCCAUGAGGACUUUAAUUAAGGAAACCGGUACCGCUUGACGAGCGCAAGGGCGCCAUCAAGCGAAUGCGAUAUACCUCAAUGUACACAAUUAAACGAGAAUAACGCUUAUUAACAUGACUAAGCACUUUGAAAACUGGAUCGGCGUGCCCAGCAACGUUAAUUUCAAUUUGACAGAACUUUACUGGCUUAAUGAACUGAUGCAUGCUGAAGCAUGCAUUUCUUUCACAUUUAGGUUAUAUGAUAAAAAGUUGUCGAAAGUGAAAAACAGAACUUGGCACAUACAGAGUAAAUGACGAUGCGAAUUUAGAAUACAGUGGAAGAACACGAUUGCAUCCCGGUAUGGUACCGGUAACGGUUCAGGGAAUAUACGACUAGAAGAAGAUCAGACACAUGAAAAGGCAAUGUUUUCAGACUACUGGCAAAAAUAAACAUCAAGCGUUUGCUCUUGAUUGAAGAGCUGCAUGGGAUUUGUCGCUGUCGAGGAGGCUAGUGUCGUCAGCAAACAAUUUGGUUGAGAGCGAAGAGCAGUGAACUAUGUCAUUGACAUAUACUAGGAAAAAUAAUGGGCCCAAUAUACUACCUUGUGGAACUCCGUGAGUCACUGAUUUGAAGAGGGGGAUUACUCGAGCAAUUUUGAGACACGAAGGAAAGAUUCCUAACGAGAGAGAACAAUUAAAAAGUUCAGCUAAACAUGGCGAAAUGAGGUCAGCAACAAGUUUAAGGAACCGUGCUGGAAUAUUGUCUGGACCUACUGCCUUCCUAUCUUUCAGAUUUUGUAUUUCUAUUAUCACUUCGUUUGAAUCAGUCAAACUCAUGAAAAUGGACUGGCUUACACGAUUGCGAAGAAAAUGUU